rnacentral:lncRNA from 9 species
UUUUUUUUUUUUUUUUUUUUUUGUCUUUUUAGGGCAGCACCUGCUGCAUAUGGAGGUUCCCAGGCCAGGGGUCAAAUCAAAGCUGUAGCCACCGGCCUACACCACAGCCACAGCAACGCCCGGUCCGAGCCAAGUCUGCCAAUCACACCACAGCUCGUGGCAACACCAGAUCCUUAACCCACUGAGCGAGGCCAAGGACUGAAUCCGAGUCCUCAUGGAUAGUAGUUGGGUUACCGCUGAGCCAUGAUGGGAACACCCACAGGCAAAUUUCUAACAGGCUUCCUAAGAGACCACUGCCCCCCCAAGUCUGAGGAGCUCUGAUUGGACUAGAGGUCCCUCCAAGGCAGAGGUGAUCUUUAUUCAGUCUUGGGUCCAGGGCUCAGCACAGUGCCACGCAUGUAGUAAGUACUUAAUAAAAAUUUACCAGAUUGAUCAUAAUAGGUACUAAAUUCCAACUGGAUUAAAAAAAUAACAUUGUUCUUACAGAAAUCGCUGACAUUGCUUCCAAAGGCCAUAAAACCAAGAAAAGGAUACUCUGCACUUGAUUUCAAAGAAAACAUUUUUAAAUGUUUCACAAUGGCCACUGCUGAAAAUUGAGUUGGUAUCAGCAAUCAGGAUAAAUAAGAUUCUUUCAUGACGGCUACAAUGAAAGUGAAUCACUGUUUCACAAAAGCCAGAGGCAGCAGAGGGGGGAAAAAACUCUGACAAUAGCCAGACUUUAUGAUACAAAAUACUUAAAAAUAGGAGUUCCUGUUGUGGCUCAGCAGUUAGCAAACCCGGCUAGCAUCCAUGAGGACACGUGUUUAAUCCCUGGCAUCGUUCAGUGGGUUAAGGAUCUGGUGUUGCCAUGAGCUGUGGUGUAGGUAGCAGACUUGGCUCUGAUCCUGAUUUGCUGUGGCUAUGGUGUAGGCUGGCAGCUGUAGCUCCCAUUCAAGCCCUAGCCUGGGAACCUCCAUGUGCUACGGGUGCAGCCCUAAAAAAGACACACAAGCAAAAAGAGAGAGAGAAACAAAAUACUUAAAAAUAAAAUCCACCUGGAGAUUUAAGCACCCUUAGUUCUUUCUUGUUAUCUUCCCUCUACUCCCCGCCCCCAACCCCGCCUGCUCUUUUUAGCAUCUUCUCCUCUCUUGACCUGUCUCUCUUUGGCAUCCUUUGCAGCUGUCACUCUUAUCUUCUCAGGAGCCAUAAUGAAUGAUUUGAAUGCUCAGAAUGGGUGGUAGGGCUGAGGCAAGGACUGUUGAAAGACUACAUAGAACAAAUCCAGGGAGACUUCUAAAGGAUCUAGAACUUAAGCGUGAGUAGGCUUUAGCUUUGCACAGAGCAGCCAAGGAGCUAGCCUAGGAUAGCAAUUUGUAAACACUGAAAUGCUCUUAGGAAACUUGCUGUUUAAAUAGGAGUUCACACCUGGAUUCAAUCCAGUUCAACAGAGAUCCACGGACCCAGCUGUGAUGGGUAAGGACGGUCUCCAGGCAGACUCUCUGGUUUCUAAUUCCAGCUCCAAAACUUACCCCUCCUCUGUGCCUGUUUCCCCAUCUGCAAGAUGGGGACAACAAUAGAGUCGAUGUGAAAAUUAAACAAGGGUUUGGUGACCCACAAAUGUUUUGUACAGUAACAGAUAUUACUGUUCUUCUUUUAAAAGUAGGGAGUUCCCGUUGUGGCUCAGGGGGUUAAGAAUCUGACUAGUAUCCACGAGGAUGUGGGUUUGAUCCCUGGCUUUGUUCAGUCGGUUAAGGAUGCAGCAUUGCCACAAGCUUGGAUCCCAAUCUUUUUUUUUUUUUUUGGUCUUUGUUGUUGUUGUUGUUGCUAUUUCUUGGGCUGCUCCCGCGGCAUAUGGAGGGCCCAAAAAAUUUUAGCUUUAAAAAAAAAAAAAAGUAAAAGAAAAUAAGAAUUUAUAAUUUAGUUGGAGCCAGUAGGCAGGAUAAUAUAAACAAUUCAUACCAAUUUUUCUUUCCUAUUAAUCUGAUGAUUUCUGGUUUUGCUUUUAAGCAGGACAUAGUUUACAUACAUGCAUAUAAUGGAGGAAAUAUUCACUAAGUCACUCUGCCAAGUGCUUUAUCUAAUUAUGUUAAUUAAUCUUCACAAAACCCUAUGGAAUAGAUAUCAUUAUCCCAACUUUACAGAUGAGGAAACUAAGGCUGAAAGGGAUUAUUAACCUGCCCAGGAACCCACAGCUAGUAAGCGGCCGAGCAAGACAUGAACCUAAGGAGUUCCCGUCGUGGCACAGUGGUUAACGAAUCCGACUAGGAACCAUGAAGUUGCGGGUUCAGUCCCUGCCCUUGCUCAGUGGGUUAACGAUCUGGCAUUGCCGUGAGCUGUGGUGUGGGUUGCAGAUGCGGCUCGGAUCCGCAUUGCUGUGGCUCUGGCGUAGGCCAGUGGCUACAGCUCCGAUUCGACCCCUAGCCUGGGAACCUCCAUAUGUUGCGGGAGCAGCCCAAGAAAUAGUAAAAAGACAAAAAAAAAAAAAGACUUGAACCUAAGUCUCACUCACUCCAAUUCACAAGCCUUUGUGCUACACCGUGAAGCACCAGGGAGCUUCCAAAACACGGCUAACGGGAGUCUUCACCCACAGUUAAAGCUCUGUUGACCUGCAGAACAAGCCAUGUCCCUGCCAGCCUCUCUUACAGCCCCACCCAGCUGACUCACCAAGAAACUGAAAAGGCGGGUAUCAAUAGAAAAGGUCACAAACACAUGGGAAAUCUUGACUGGCAACCACCACCUUGUCC